CAGUACCACUAGGGGUGCAUUGAGCUGAGACAGCAGAUUUCCGGAGAUGAUGAUCCGUAAAGUGCUGAUCCCUUCGACUUGAUCUGGGUAAUACCAGCGUAAGGAAGUGGUUUAGUACAUAA
rnacentral:ncRNA from 2 species